CUUACUAUAGUUCGCUUAAGUUUCAUAAUAUGGUAAGUUUGAUAAGUUGUUUAGGAGAGAAUAACAAGUAAUUUUUUGGUUUUGAAAGAAAUUUCAUGAAAGCCUAUCUCGAAUAUUUUUCCUUUUCCUGAAUGCCUGCUCUGUGUUCUUGUAUGUAAUGUUUAGUUUACUUUAUACUUCCAAAACACUGAAUGCUUCUAUUUGGUGUCGACAGAGGUUAUUGUUAGGUGGUUCCAUAAAUCAGGUAGUGUUAACACAGUAAUUUUCUUAUUUUGUUGCAUAUCCCUGGUAAAUGUACUUGCUGUAUGGUGCACUUUGUAGAUUAAUUCAUUGGCUGCCAUUGCUAGUUAGAAGAAACUGAUAAUACUGAAUGGUCUUUAAUUAAUUAUUUUGACUUUGGAUUGUGUAACAUAUCUCCACUACUUUCUGGUCAUAUCUCUUUUGCAGAGAAAAAACUUACCUUCUGUUCGCCAGUAUUUGGAAACAUUUGCAAUUAAUAUUUACAUGGAGUUUUCCUCUUUGGUAAUGCACCGUCUUAAAUUUAUUUAGUAAAUAAUAAAGCUUAACAUUCAUGCAUGAGAUGUGUGCAGAAACACACAUAUUCCAACAGUUCAAUCUCCACGACUGGUAUCAAUCAUUCAAAUCAAUAGUUCUCUGCCCAAAUAGUAAAAGGAAACCAAGGCAGUCCCCAUUACCAAAGAAAAGAAAAGGCAUAAAAGAAGCAGAAAGCCAGAGUGAAGCUUCUCUACAGUAUCCUUUGCUGUACCAUUCUUCUAUAUUUAUUUUCAGUUUAUUCAUGGUGUUCCUGUUGGACCUGUAAGUGAUCAGUUCGGAGGGUUGAUUUUUAACUUUAUCUAUGUGAAGCAUAUGCAUCCCAAGUUAAUAAUUGAGAAGAGUUCAGAUCUGAGUGCGGCAG